rnacentral:rRNA from 1 species
GGAAUCAACGCUGGCGGCGUGCCUAACACAUGCAAGUCGAACGCGAAAGCCCCGAAAGGGGUAAGUAGAGUGGCAAACGGGUGAGUAACACGUGGGUGACCUGCCUCCGAGCGGGGGAUAACGUCCCGAAAGGGACGCUAAAUACCGCAUAACAUCCUGUCCUUAGAAGAGGUGGAGAUACAAAGCGUGGGAUCGA